rnacentral:tRNA from 1 species
AGGUGGCUCAGUGGUAGAGUGCUUGCCUUGCAUGCAUGAGGCUCUGGGUUCAAUUUCUGAGCACCUA